UACAGAGGUCUCGAGCGUUGUUCGGAUUCAUUGGGCGUAAAGGGCGCGUAGGCGGCGGGGUAAGUCUGGUGUGAAAUCUCGGAGCUCAACUCCGAAAUUGCACUGGAUACUGCUCUGCUAGAGGGCUGGAGAGGAGAUCGGAAUUCACGGUGUAGCAGUGAAAUGCGUAAAUAUCGUGAGGAAGACCAGUGGCGAAGGCGGAUCUCUGGACAGCUCCUGACGCUGAGGCGCGAAGGCUAGGGGAGCAAACGGG
rnacentral:rRNA from 1 species